rnacentral:rRNA from 1 species
UACGGGGGGGGGCAAGCGUUGUUCGGAAUUACUGGGCGUAAAGGGCUCGUAGGUGGCCAACUAAGUCAUACGUGAAAUCCCUCGGCUUAACCGGGGAACUGCGUCUGAUACUGGAUGGCUUGAGGUUGGGAGAGGGAUGCGGAAUUCCAGGUGUAGCGGUGAAAUGCGUAGAUAUCUGGAGGAACACCGGUGGCGAAGGCGGCAUCCUGGACCAAUUCUGACACUGAGGAGCGAAAGCCAGGGGAGACAAACGGG